rnacentral:rRNA from 1 species
CCUACGGGAGGCAGCAGUGGGGAAUAUUGCACAAUGGGGGAAACCCUGAUGCAGCGACGCCGCGUGAGUGAAGAAGUAUUUCGGUAUGUAAAGCUCUAUCAUCAGGGAAGAAAAUGACGGUACCUUACUAAUAAGCCCCGGCUAACUACGUGCCAGCAGCCGCGGUAAUACGUAGGGUGCAAGCGUUAUCCGGAUUUACUGGGUGUAAAGGGAUCGUAGAAGGAUAAUCAAGUCAGAAGUGAAAACCCGGGGCUAAACCUUGGGACUGCUAUUGAUACUGAGUAGCUAGAGUGCAGGAGGGGUAAGCGGAAUUCCUAGUGUAGCGGUGAAAUGCGUAGAUAUUAGGAGGAACACCAGUGGCGAAGGCGGCUUACUGGACUGUAACUGACGUUGAGGCUCGAAAGCGUGGGGAGCAAACAGGAUUAGAUACCCCAGUAGUC